rnacentral:lncRNA from 1 species
AUGACUGCAGGCCCUUAUUUCUUCAAGUGCAGGCAAUUCUCUGCCUCCGGCUCAGAACCUGCCCCUCUGAAAGCCUCUGGACCCAGGGACCUAGCAGUGCGGCAGCGCCAGCCUGUGCAGACGGCGUCAGCUUUGGCGUCCGUCUCCAUGUGUCCCCGAGUCUGGCUUCCUGCCCUAGUGCCCUCUCAUCAGAGUAUCUGUCGUGCUGCGAAACUCACCUGUGAAGUGGCUGAGACAGCACAGUCCUGGCAGAGCGUGCCCAGGGGAGCCGGCCCCGCCUGCUCCCUGCCUGCUCCCCGCCUGCUCCCUGCCUGCUCCCCGCCUGCUCCCCGCCUGCUCCCUGCCUGCUCCCCGCCUGCUCCCCGCCUGCUCCCUGCCCCACGACCAUGGUGUCUGGCAGUAAGCUGCUGCCGCCCAGGGGCUGCUUCAGAUCAGGGCUGUUGUGGGGCCUCGGACUUUGGCAGUGGGAUGCCCAGGGCGGAGUGGGCCUGCCGGCUGCGGGCUUCGGCCACCUGGCUUGGGGAACAGAAGUCUUCCAGGAAGAUCUGGGCCAGGUUCCGGAGCCUUGUGUUGGCCGAGAGAGAGAAGCGCAGCAUGCACUGGACCACAGGCAUGGCGGUCAGCUCCGGGUGGCAGCCGGCGCCCGGCGAGCCCAGGUACAUGAGCGUGGUGACAGCGGACAGCACCGUCUCCUCGUUGGUGCUGAGUCAUCGUCACACCCAGGUGUGCCUGGGCAGGCCACUGCCACCCAGACCAGGGUGAAGCCAGAUGGCAUCGCUGGAGGGUGGGGACAGCAGGAGGCCUCAGGACAGGGGCCAGGGAAGCCCAUGGGGUGGGCCACGUGCCGGCCCAUGCUCACGAGCUGCAGUCUACGUUUCAGGCCCUCAGGCUGGAUGGCGGUGUUCCACGAGGUGAAGGGAGCGAGGGCCAGGGGGCCAGGCGGGGCCGCAGCACCAGGAUGGGCCAGGAUGGCUCUGCGGACUCCCGAGAGGCUCUGGAGGACUCACCCAGCCCGUCCACGUGAGAACUUGCUCUGAAGAGCUAACGAGGGCUGCGGGCAAGAGCAGCACGGCCACCGCAGCUUCCCAGUGCCCAACAGCACGCUGGUUAAGCAGAUGACGGCACAUUACAGGGUGAAGAACCACACGCCCCUUAAAAAUGCUGUCUUCCGGGGGCGGCGCUGUGGCGCAGGUUAGCCGCUGCCUGCAGCACCCACAUCCCAUGUGGUCUCUGAUUCGAGUCCUGGCUGCUCCACUUCC